UACAGAGGUCCCAAGCGUUGUUCGGAUUCACUGGGCGUAAAGAGCUCGUAGGCGGUCUGUCACGUCGGCUGUGAAAACCCGAGGCUCAACCUCGGGCCUGCAGUCGAUACGGGCAGACUAGAGUUCGGUAGGGGAGACUGGAAUUCCUGGUGUAGCGGUGAAAUGCGCAGAUAUCAGGAGGAACACCGGUGGCGAAGGCGGGUCUCUGGGCCGAAACUGACGCUGAGGAGCGAAAGCGUGGGGAGCGAACAGG
rnacentral:rRNA from 1 species